rnacentral:rRNA from 1 species
GAUGAACGCUGGCGGCGUGCCUAAUACAUGCAAGUCGAGCGAACGGACGAGAAGCUUGCUUCUUUGAUGUUAGCGGAGGACGGGAGAGUAACACGUGGAACCCCUACCUAUCAGUCUGGGAUAACUUCGGGAAACCGGAGCUAAUCCCGGAUAAUCUUCUGAACCGUAUGGUUCAAAAGUGAAAGACGGUCUUGCUGUCACUUAUCGAUGGAUCCGAGCUGCUUUAGAUAGUUGGUAAGGUAAAGGGCUUUCAAGGCAACUAGGCAUAGCCGACCUGAGAGGGUGAUCGGCCACACUGGAACGGAGACACGGACCAGACUCCUACGAGAGGCAGCAGUAGGGAAUCGGCCGCAAUGGGCGAAAGCCUGACGGAGCAACGCCGAGUGAGUUAUGAAGGUCUUCGGAUCGUAAAGCUCUGUUAUUAGGGAAGAACAGAUGUGUAAGUAACUGUGCACAGCUUGACGGUACUUAAUCAGAAAGCCACGGCUAACUACGUG